rnacentral:rRNA from 1 species
GACGAACGCUGGCGGCGUGCUUAACACAUGCAAGUCGAGCGAUGAAGCACCUUCGGGUGUGGAUUAGCGGCGAACGGGUGAGGAACACGUGAGGAAUCUGCCUUCCACUCUGGGAUAACUCCGGGAAACCGGGGCUAAUACCGGAUAUUUUCAACUGGCGGCAUCGCCGGUUGAAGAAAGUUUUUCGGUGGAAGAUGACCUCGCGGCCUAUCAGCUUGUUGGUGAGGUAAAGGCUCACCAAGGCGACGACGGGUAGCCGGCCUGAGAGGGUGACCGGCCACACUGGGACUGAGACACUGCCCAGACUCCUACGGGAGGCAGCAGUGGGGAAUAUUGGGCAAUGGAGGAAACUCUGACCCAGCGACGCCGCGUGAGGGAUGAAGGCCUUCGGGUUGUAAACCUCUUUCAGCAGGGAAUAAGCGAAAGUGAAGGUGCCUGCAGAAGAAGCACCGGCUAACUAUGUGCCAGCCGCCGCCGUAA